GAGUCCCAUGGUCAUCUGCAGAUUGGCAGUGGCUAAGACAGUAUGAAAGUUUCCGAGGAAAGGAGAGAGAAGGGAGGAUAAUUAUCCCUAAACUCUUUCUUCUGAGCAUCCCUGCUGUCCUCCUCACCAAUGGUGUUAUUUAAUGCAAUAUUUUUUAUUUUGCACUUUAAUCUCAAUCAGGUAGGAAAUGGAGUCAAAAGGUUUUCAAAGAGAGGAUCCCAAUCUUCCUUGGCCAGUUUUGACGUGGGCAUUGCUUAGACACACGCCCACAGGAAAAGGAAGAACGUAAGAGCAUCCAGUCUGGCUCAGACCACCCCUCUGUCUCCAACAUGGCCAAGAGCACAAGCUCAGGGAAGGUGUAUCAGGAUAAAGAAAGGCCCUUGUCUUUACCUUUAUGAAGCCUUCACUUGCUUCCCAUUGAGCUGAAAUAAUAAUAAAUGAUUGAUUAUUCCCAUAACUGCCAUUCCCUUCUUUCUUCAUCCCCAUCUCCCUGGAAAUGACUCAUUGUGUGAGACAGGGAAGACAGUAGGCAUAUGAUAUGUCUGGGAAGAGCAGCUCUCAGUCAAAGGCAGUAGGGCAAACCCUCCUUCCUACAAACAGGAAAGGAGCGGAAAUUUCCAUGGGUGCUCCUGAGUCCCAUCAGUCUUGUCUGAAAACCCUCUACCUUUGAUUCCAGGGUCUCCACACAAUGGGCCUUUAAUGCAUCAUUCUGCCUUUGAUGACUACUGCCAGAUUCUUUUUCUUAUCUGACUUAGGAAAGAUCUAACAGGAUCAGUUAGCUAGC